rnacentral:rRNA from 1 species
CCUACGGGUGGCAGCAGUGGGGAAUAUUGGACAAUGGGGGGAACCCUGAUCCAGCCAUGCCGCGUGUGUGAAGAAGGCCCUCGGGUUGUAAAGCACUUUCAGUGAGGAAGAACGCCUGGUGGUUAAUACCCAGCAGGAAAGACAUCACUCACAGAAGAAGCACCGGCUAACUCCGUGCCAGCAGCCGCGGUAAUACGGAGGGUGCGAGCGUUAAUCGGAAUUACUGGGCGUAAAGCGCGCGUAGGUGGCUUGAUAAGCCGGUUGUGAAAGCCCCGGGCUCAACCUGGGAACGGCAUCCGGAACUGUCAAGCUAGAGUGCAGGAGAGGAAGGUAGAAUUCCCGGUGUAGCGGUGAAAUGCGUAGAGAUCGGGAGGAAUACCAGUGGCGAAGGCGGCCUUCUGGACUGACACUGACACUGAGGUGCGAAAGCGUGGGUAGCAAACAGGAUUAGAUACCCGAGUAGUC